ACGCUCGACACCUACGGGGGGCAGCAGUGGGGAAUAUUGCACAAUGGGGGAAACCCUGAUGCAGCGACGCCGCGUGAGCGAAGAAGUAUUUCGGUAUGUAAAGCUCUAUCAGCAGGGAAGAAAUGACGGUACCUGACUAAGAACGCCCCGGCUAACUACGUGCCAGCUGCCGCGGUAAUCUGAGGCGGGCUGGACAAGGC
rnacentral:rRNA from 1 species